UAUUGAAACACCAGUUCCCGUACGAUCACCGGAGUUAAGCAAUGUCGAACCUGGUUAAUACCUUGAUGGGUGAACACUUGGGAUUACCAGGUGCUGUAA